UACGUAGGGUGCAAGCGUUAUCCGGAAUUAUUGGGCGUAAAGAGCUCGUAGGCGGUCUGUCGCGUCUGCUGUGAAAACCUAAGGCUCAACCUUGGGCUUGCAGUGGGUACGGGCAGACUAGAGUGCGGUAGGGGUGACUGGAAUUCCUGGUGUAGCGGUGGAAUGCGCAGAUAUCAGGAGGAACACCGAUGGCGAAGGCAGGUCACUGGGCCGCAACUGACGCUGAGGAGCGAAAGCAUGGGGAGCGAACAGG
rnacentral:rRNA from 1 species